rnacentral:rRNA from 1 species
GAGUUUGAUCCUGGCUCAGAUUGAACGCUGGCGGCAGGCCUAACACAUGCAAGUCGAGCGGUAGAGAGAAGCUUGCUUCUCUUGAGAGCGGCGGACGGGUGAGUAAUGCCUAGGAAUCUGCCUGGUAGUGGGGGAUAACGCUCGGAAACGGACGCUAAUACCGCAUACGUCCUACGGGAGAAAGCAGGGGACCUUCGGGCCUUGCGCUAUCAGAUGAGCCUAGGUCGGAUUAGCUAGUUGGUGAGGUAAUGGCUCACCAAGGCGACGAUCCGUAACUGGUCUGAGAGGAUGAUCAGUCACACUGGAACUGAGACACGGUCCAGACUCCUACGGGAGGCAGCAGUGGGGAAUAUUGGACAAUGGGCGAAAGCCUGAUCCAGCCAUGCCGCGUGUGUGAAGAAGGUCUUCGGAUUGUAAAGCACUUUAAGUUGGGUAGGAAGGGCAGGUAAAUUAAUACUUUGCUGUUUUGACGUUACCGACAGAAUAAGCACCGGCUAACUCUGUGCCAGCACG